rnacentral:rRNA from 2 species
CGCGAGCGCUGGAGGCGUGCCUAAUACAUGCAAGUCGAGCGGACUUUAAAAGCUUGCUUUUAAAGUUAGCGGCGGACGGGUGAGUAACACGUGGGCAACCUGCCUGUAAGACUGGGAUAACUUCGGGAAACCGGAGCUAAUACCGGAUAAUCCUUUUCCUCUCAUGAGGAAAAGCUGAAAGACGGUUUACGCUGUCACUUACAGAUGGGCCCGCGGCGCAUUAGCUAGUUGGUGAGGUAACGGCUCACCAAGGCGACGAUGCGUAGCCGACCUGAGAGGGUGAUCGGCCACACUGGGACUGAGACACGGCCCAGACUCCUACGGGAGGCAGCAGUAGGGAAUCUUCCGCAAUGGACGAAAGUCUGACGGAGCAACGCCGCGUGAGUGAUGAAGGUUUUCGGAUCGUAAAACUCUGUUGUUAGGGAAGAACAAGUACAAGAGUAACUGCUUGUACCUUGACGGUACCUAACCAGAAAGCCACGGCUAACUACGUGCCAGCAGCCGCGGUAAUACGUAGUGGCAAGCGUUGUCCGGAAUUAUUGGGCGUAAAGCGCGCGCAGGCGGUCCUUUUAGUCUGAUGUGAAAGCCCACGCUCACCGUGGAGGGUCAUUGGAAACUGGGGGACUUGAGUGCAAAA